rnacentral:lncRNA from 1 species
CCGCACAAAUCCACAAUUAUUUUAAGAUUGAGUUUACUAUAAAUUUGUGAUUCCCUUAAACUCAGCAUGAAAACCAUGAGUAAACUUUGCAUAUUUAAUCAAAAAGUCAAAAAAAUAAUAACUCAUUAUUUUGCAUAUUUUUCCCCUUAUUAAAGUCAGGUACCACCAAAUUAUUACAACAAUAAUAACUCAUUCCACCAAAAAAGUUUGAACAAAAAGGAAGAGAAUCAAAAUAAGAAGGUAGAGAUAAAGAAUUUGGAAAUUGAAUGGAGUUUAUAGUUUGUUUUCUAGUCGCAAAAGCAAUGACUUUCAAAUGUCAUAUUGUUACGUUGAAUAUUAUGUUCUUGAUUUGAAUAUAAGAUCUCGUAAAAAUAUAUGUGAAUUUCUAGUAGAAUUUAUUAUUUCGUAAAAAAAAGUGUUAACAUGUAAAGUAAAGUAGAUUAUAAAUUUACCUGUUUGCAUUCAGGAGAAGCACAACUAACAUUCUUAAAAGUAGUUGAUCUUUCAGGACCAAACAAAGUUGAAGAACAACCAUCACAAGCAGUACAAGGAAUCCAAGCAGCAUCAUUACUAGUAUCCAUAGCCAACAACAAAGUUUGAGGUGGAG